UAGGGAAUCUUCGGCAAUGGGGGGAACCCUGACCGAGCAACGCCGCGUGAUUGAAGAAGGUUUUCGGAUCGUAAAGCUCUGUUGUUAAGGAAGAACGAGUGUGAGAAUGGAAAGUUCAUACUGUGACGGUACUUAACCAGAAAGGGACGGCUAACUACGUGCCAGCAGCCGCGGUAAUACGUAGGUCCCGAGCGUUGUCCGGAUUUAUUGGGCGUAAAGCGAGCGCAGGCGGUUAGAUAAGUCUGAAGUUAAAGGCAGUGGCUCAACCAUUGUAGGCUUUGGAAACUGUUUAACUUGAGUGCAGAAGGGGAGAGUAGAAUUCCAUGUGUAGCGGUGAAAUGCGUAGAUAUAUGGAGGAACACCGGUGGCGAAAGCGGCUCUCUGGUCUGUAACUGACGCUGAGGCUCGAAAGCGUGGGGAGCGAACAGG
rnacentral:rRNA from 1 species